UACGGGGGGAGCAAGCGUUGUUCGGAUUUACUGGGCGUAAAGCGCGCGUAGGCGGUUACUUAAGUCGGAUGUGAAAGCCCUCGGCUUAACUGAGGAAGUGCACCCGAAACUGAGUAGCUAGAGUACGAAAGAGGGUCGCGGAAUUCCCGGUGUAGAGGUGAAAUUCGUAGAUAUCGGGAGGAACACCGGUGGCGAAGGCGGCGACCUGGGUCGAGACUGACGCUGAGGCGCGAAAGCGUGGGGAGCAAACAGG
rnacentral:rRNA from 1 species